UGUCAGUGAUGAGCUGCACCCUGGGAUAAGUGCACAGUGUGUGCUUGUCCUCAUGAACUGUCCAAUCACAUGGAUAAGAUGAAUGACAUCUCCAAGUGCACAGGGGCCAUCUGAGACCAC